CCAGCGUCUCGGCAGCUGCCCGGCCACCUUGCACAGUAACAUCUGAAGUGGUCGUGGUGAGGGUCCCACAAGGACCCAGCGUGUGUGCUGUGCUUUUGCUAAGCGGCCGGUCACCCGCCACUGCCACGACCUCUGUCCGCCCGCCAGGGUGUCCUUGAUACCUGCUCAAGAACAUAUUCCGAACAUGCCACUGGCCUGCGGCUUGGCGGGUCCUGAGAGCGUAGAGCAGGGGACAUGAAGGGAGGCAAGCAUCAUUGACUUUUCUUUUGUCAAUCAGAGGUGCCUCAGUGAUGAAGAACUGAUUCGUGGGAUGCGCCAGCCCUUUGGGGACCACACGUCUCGCCGGGACCAGGUGGCCAGGACUUCUGAUGUCUGUGCAGAGAGGAAGGGGAGCUUUGCUGAGGACACCCGCCCGGUGCUGCCGAAAUCCCAGAGUGUGGUGCACAGCACAGCCUUCCCUCAGACGAGACCACUGCUCGACCAUCGUUCUGUCCUGUCUUUGGUGGACAGCAUCUCCGAGACGCCCUCCCAGAGCACCGCAAACCCAGGGCCGCCUCCUCCCGGACCUUCUGCUGUUGCCCCCACUGGCUGCGCAUCCUUCCGUCUUUCUCCAGGUCCGUCAGCACCCGGGACCCGUGUAUACGUGUGUACGUGUCCUGUCUGUCCACGUUGUUUGCCCUCAGGAGGAUCAGCCCAGUGGGGCAAAUAAGACCCCUUGGCACCGCGGGGCAGGUGACGAAUGGCGAAGAAGGAUGGCAGGCAUAUCUGUUUGUCCGCCCGACGGGCAACCUGCAAACGGCUUCGGACCGGCGACUCCUGGUGUGCUCUCAGCAGGGGAGAGUCAUGUCAUUUCCAGGUUGGCAUAUGAUGUUAGGAUGUGUGACCAGGGUGACCUACGGUGACACACAAGACCUGUAGCAACGUGUCAGGUGCAAGAACUCGCCACUGCCGGAGUCAGGGGGAGGUGCGGGUAGGGCGAGCUCAGCGUGUGUGGCGCCCAUCGUGUGCGGUGUGGUCGGCAGCCCAGGGAACCGUCCUCUGACGCCGUUGCCUCCAGAACCCAUGAUCCCUUUUCCACGAGCAGGAGUCUCAGACACUGGACUAUGCAGACAUUAGAUCCCAGAUGACGCCAGGGUCUGUAGGAUGUCACCACGCCUCCUGCAAGGGAAGACUAGUCCCAGAGCUGACCCGGGGCUGAGGUUCACAGGACCAGCGGGUGACUGACAGGGGGACCAGACAGGGAGGCGCUGUGGCCGCGGACAUCCCAGAGCAGGAGAUUGUGACUGUUUCCAGAACUAUCACAGCGGGUGGGGCUGAGGUUCAUUCCCCUCAAAAUUAUUUGGGCGCAUUCUUCUAUUUUUUUGCCACUCUUUCAACAAGGAUCUGCAUUUGAUUAUAAUGAAAACCCAUGAGCCGUGGCUUUUGAAAAGUGAGGGUUCUGUUUUCUUACGGAGACAUCCAGAGGGUCCUGGGUGCUCUGCCCUCUUGUUCAGUGCUGGGUGUGCCCUGUCACACACGGUCACAAGGUGCUGCCCCACGUGGGCACCCACGUGGGCAUCCAUGUGGGCACCGACACGGCCCGGCGGGACGGGUGAGGAAUGGGAAACAAGGGUGAAGACUGGCCCUGCAGGCACCCGCCCCUCUUUAAGCCCUUUCCCAGAGGCCCCACCCAAUGACUCCUACUUCUGCUUCUGCUGCACGCCUGGUCACCCCUAACUGCAAGGGAAGCGGGAAGCCAAGAGAGUAUUUGUAGCUGUCUACACAUUGCAGGCAGGGCUCAGGGUUCUUCAGGUAGGAAACAGGUGAAAGGUGGGUGCUGGGCCGGUGACCAUCCGUGCCAGCCACACCCGGGAGGGAGUCCCUGGCUCCGGGGAGGUCAAGAGGCCGAGGCGAUGCCACGAA
rnacentral:lncRNA from 1 species